rnacentral:rRNA from 1 species
AAGCUCGUAGUUGAAUUUCGGGAUCAGUACGCUGGUCGUGCCUUUGGUAUGUACUGGUGUCACUGAUUCCUCCCUUCUGAAGAACCGUUAUGCCAUUUAUUUGGUGUGGCGGGGAAUCAGGACUGUUACUUUGAAAAAAUUAGAGUGUUUAAAGCAGGCUCGCGCUUGAAUACAUUAGCAUGGAAUAAUGAAAUAGGACGUUUGAUCUUAUUUUGUUGGUUUCUAGGAUCGACGUAAUGAUUAAUAGGGAUAGUUGGG